GACAGUUUGGCUGAGUGGUCCAAGCCGCUAGAUUCAGGCGUUAGUCCGAAACUUUCGGACGGGCGCGAGUUCGGGUCUCGCAGCUAUUA